rnacentral:rRNA from 1 species
AUUGAACGCUGGCGGCAUGCCUUACACAUGCAAGUCGAACGGCAGCAUGAUCUAGCUUGCUAGAUUGAUGGCGAGUGGCGAACGGGUGAGUAAUACAUCGGAACGUGCCCUGUAGUGGGGGAUAACUAGUCGAAAGAUUAGCUAAUACCGCAUACGACCUGAGGGUGAAAGUGGGGGACCGCAAGGCCUCAUGCUAUAGGAGCGGCCGAUGUCUGAUUAGCUAGUUGGUGAGGUAAAGGCUCACCAAGGCGACGAUCAGUAGCUGGUCUGAGAGGACGAUCAGGCACACUGGGAGUGAGACACGGCACAGACUCCUACGGGAGGCAGCAGUGGGGAAUUUUGGACGAUGGGCGAGAGCCUGAUCCAGCAAUGCCGCGUGUGUGAAGAAGGCCUUCGGGUUGUAAAGCGCUUUUGUCCGGAAAGAAAUGGCUCUGGUUAAUACCUGGGGUAGAUGACGGUACCGGAAGAAUAAGGACCGGCUAACUACGUG